UACGAAGGGGACUAGCGUUGUUCGGAAUUACUGGGCGUAAAGCGCACGUAGGCGGAUUUGUAAGUCAGGGGUGAAAUCCCGGGGCUCAACCUCGGAACUGCCUUUGAUACUGCAAAUCUCGAGUCCGAUAGAGGUGGGUGGAAUUCCUAGUGUAGAGGUGAAAUCGUAGAUAUUGGGAAGAACACCGGUGGCGAAGGCGGCUAUCUGGCCCGUAAUUGACGCUGAGGCGCGAAAGCGUGGGGGAGCAAACAGGG
rnacentral:rRNA from 1 species